CCCUGAAAGCCAGGGAGCCCUCCCCCAAGGCCUGGUUCCCAGUUCCCCUGGCUCUAACCUCUACGUCCUACAGGAAAUGCCCCAAGCCAGCUUCCUACAGGAACACAGAUUCCUAGAGUCCAAGACCACAAGGGACCAUUGCAAUCACCUUGCCUGAGCUGCGUGAUGCAGGCCAGAGAACUCCUCCCAAGGAAUUCCAAGAGAAGAGGGUUUAGAACCACAUCCAGUCUGGAUUUAAGUAUCGCCAGGGAUGGAGAAUCCACUUGUUCCAGGAUGACGCCCUCCAGCUCCCUCUUCUCCAGCUGGUUCUGCACCUUCACCUCCUCCAGCCUCAUCUGCAGACGCUUGUUCUCCGCCUCCAGGUCCUUCAGCUGGGAUUCCCGGAGCCGCACCAGCUCCUCCAGGUGCUGGGUAGAUGUAUGUGAUGGCGCAGUAGCAACAGGCCCAGUGUCUUCUCAUGGCCCCCUAGUGAGAGCGUUUGUGGUGCUUCGCACAGGAAACGGGACUACAUUUACCCAGAAUCCUUAGUGCCAGGGAUCCUGACUCAGGAUCCUGGGGUUUGAGUUACAGAAGUGCUGGACAUUAUCAGCUGCAACGAAAGGCAGUGGGAGCUGCGCUGUGAACAAGUAAAGUGUGAUCUAAUGCCCAAUACUCCAAAAAGAAUCACACCGUAGGUGUCUCAAAGUGGGCACCCAAAAUGACUGGAAAAUUUGUGUGCUGCAGUUCCUCAGCUGUAAUAUGGGGAAAACAACACCCUUCAUCCCACCUGGGUGUUGCGAAGAUCACACCUGUGAAGUGCGCGGAGGCGUUAGUGGCAAAACACCCAGGAGGAAAUGAAUAAUGCUGUCUUCAGA